UACGUAGGGUGCAAGCGUUGUCCGGAAUUAUUGGGCGUAAAGGGCUUGUAGGCGGUUUGUCGCGUCUGCUGUGAAAUUUCGGGGCUCAACCCCGAACUUGCAGUGGGUACGGGCAGACUAGAGUGUGGUAGGGGAGACUGGAAUUCCUGGUGUAGCGGUGAAAUGCGCAGAUAUCAGGAGGAACACCGGUGGCGAAGGCGGGUCUCUGGGCAGUAACUGACGCUGAGGAGCGAAAGCGUGGGGAGCGAACAGG
rnacentral:rRNA from 1 species